CGGGAACGCGGAGGCCGGCAGGGCCUGCGGAACGGCUGAUUCUGGGUUGGCUCUGCCGGUCCUUCCAGUGCUCAGCUCCUGGGAGGGCAGCCAGCGGUGCUUCCGCCGCCUCUUCGUCGCAAACAGCCUUUUUGCUCCUCCUCGCUAAACCGGCCUUUCACUCAUUGGGGUAGACUCGCCCAGGUGUUGUAAUCGUAGCUUGAGCCUCAAAUGCCAAAAUGCCGACGGAGGUGUUUUAAGAAGAUGUAGUCGUUCAAGGCCCAAGUGCCUAUAUUUGAGCAGAGGCGAAGGGUAAGAUGAGAAAACCUUCGCCUAAGUGGGGACUUGUGAACCGAUCCGAAGAGUGUGUGGAUACUGUUACCCAUAGAAGUCAGAAGAAAGUGUCAUACCUUGAAGCUGGAGUUACAGUGGUUGUAAGCCACCAACUUGGAUCCUCUGGAACAGCAGUGAGUUCUCUUAGCUGCUCAGCCAUCUCUCCAGGCCCAAACAGCAGUUUUUAAGGUUCAGUGAAUACUGGUCUGAUUACAAUAUUGAUCAGAUUCGUUACUGAGUUAAAAUGUGCCUACAAAUAAUAGUCUGACCACACAGUCAAUGACAUGAUAGCCUGAACUCAGUAAUAGAUAAACUAUAGACUCCAAUCACUACUACUUGGCAAAUAGAAAUUGAAUUGGAUCAUAAUUGUGCAUGACUUUAUUUAUAAAUGAAUGGGAAAAAAAAAGAAAUUGGAGUUGGGCCUUGAGUGCUUCUUGUGCUUCUGGGAAGUUACAGCCAAGGUUGUAUGGCACUGCAGCUGCUGAGGACCUUGCAUCCUUCCCCAUCACUGUGCUUAAAAGGCUUCCUCCUCCAGCUGGGUGUAAUGGUGCACACAUGGAAUCCCAGUACUGAGCGACUAAGGCAGAAGGACUUCAAAACCAUAGUAAAGCCCAGCACUCAGGAAGAUUACCUUGUUUGGAAGACCAGAGGCCAGUUUACUUACAUUUUAUAGAAAAACAACAUUAAAGGAACCUGCCACCCAGACUUAACAAAAUAACAGCCACAUUUUGGGAUGUUUGUUUAAUGUUUGUUUAAUAAAACUUAUGUAUACAAGAAGCCA